GUGAGUCAUCGAAUCUUUGAACGCAUAUUGCGCCUAAGGCUUCGGCCAAAGGCAUGCCUGCCUCAGCGUCGGGUUUCAACCUCAUCACGCUCUCCUCGUGACAGCGUCGAUGGAUUUGAUAGCCUUUGAAACAACAUCAUAGUUGCUCUCAACGGCUGUCGAAAAGCAUCUACCUGCUCUUGCCACUAGACAUUGUGGUUAGGACGCAACUGAGCAAGUGCUUCUUUUGAACACCAUUAGUUGCGGCCUGCCUGUCUCUUUGUCGUUAUGUGGUAUGAUGUAGCGUAUUCAGACAAACCC
rnacentral:misc_RNA from 1 species